GGGAGCUUGCUCCCGGAUGUUAGCGGCGGACGGGUGAGUAACACGUGGGUAACCUGCCUGUAAGACUGGGAUAACUCCGGGAAACCGGAGCUAAUACCGGAUAGUUCCUUGAACCGCAUGGUUCAAGGAUGAAAGACGGUUUCGGCUGUCACUUACAGAUGGACCCGCGGCGCAUUAGCUAGUUGGUGAGGUAACGGCUCACCAAGGCGACGAUGCGUAGCCGACCUGAGAGGGUGAUCGGCCACACUGGGACUGAGACACGGCCCAGACUCCUACGGGAGGCAGCAGUAGGGAAUCUUCCGCAAUGGACGAAAGUCUGACGGAGCAACGCCGCGUGAGUGAUGAAGGUUUUCGGAUCGUAAAGCUCUGUUGUUAGGGAAGAACAAGUGCAAGAGUAACUGCUUGCACCUUGACGGUACCUAACCAGAAAGCCACGGCUAACUACGUGCCAGCAGCCGCGGUAAUACGUAGGUGGCAAGCGUUGUCCGGAAUUAUUGGGCGUAAAGGGCUCGCAGGCGGUUUCUUAAGUCUGAUGUGAAAGCCCCCGGCUCAACCGGGGAGGGUCAUUGGAAACUGGGAAACUUGAGUGCAGAAGAGGAGAGUGGAAUUCCACGUGUAGCGGUGAAAUGCGUAGAGAUGUGGAGGAACACCAGUGGCGAAGGCGACUCUCUGGUCUGUAACUGACGCUGAGGAGCGAAAGCGUGGGGAGCGAACAGGAUUAGAUACCCUGGUAGUCCACGCCGUAAACGAUGAGUGCUAAGUGUUAGGGGGUUUCCGCCCCUUAGUGCUGCAGCUAACGCAUUAAGCACUCCGCCUGGGGAGUACGGUCGCAAGACUGAAACUCAAAGGAAUUGACGGGGGCCCGCACAAGCGGUGGAGCAUGUGGUUUAAUUCGAAGCAACGCGAAGAACCUUACCAGGUCUUGACAUCCUCUGACAACCCUAGAGAUAGGGCUUUCCCUUCGGGGACAGAGUGACAGGUGGUGCAUGGUUGUCGUCAGCUCGUGUCGUGAGAUGUUGGGUUAAGUCCCGCAACGAGCGCAACCCUUGAUCUUAGUUGCCAGCAUUCAGUUGGGCACUCUAAGGUGACUGCCGGUGACAAACCGGAGGAAGGUGGGGAUGACGUCAAAUCAUCAUGCCCCUUAUGACCUGGGCUACACACGUGCUACAAUGGACAGAACAAAGGGCUGCGAGACCGCAAGGUUUAGCCAAUCCCACAAAUCUGUUCUCAGUUCGGAUCGCAGUCUGCAACUCGACUGCGUGAAGCUGGAAUC
rnacentral:rRNA from 1 species